GACAGAGGUGCCAAGCGUUAGGCGGAAUCACUGGGCUUAAAGCGUGUGUAGGCGGAAUGGUAAGUACCUUGUGAAAUCCCACGGCUCAACCGUGGAACUGCUCGGUAUACUGCUUUUCUUGAGCCACUUAGGGGCUGUCGGAACAAACGGUGGAGCGGUGAAAUGCGUAGAUAUCGUUUGGAACGCCAACGGUGAAAACAGACAGCUGGGAGUGUGCUGACGCUGGAGACACGAAAGCCAGGGGAGCGAACGGG
rnacentral:rRNA from 1 species